AAAGCAAACGCGUGUCACCAUAUAAGCGUCACAGGACUACGGGUCUGAAUCUCCUUUCCAGCCGCUGGCCUUACUCUGAAGGACUUGAAUGGAUUCAAGGUUUCACACGAGGAAGCCUUUCAGGUGAAAAGGCUACAAAAAUGGCAAAGCAGAGCCCGUGCCCGUGUGACAUGCUGUUUCUCCUUCCAGACUUCAGAGGCGAUCCCUCGGCUGGUGCGAACGCCUGUAACUCUGCUACAAUAAGAUUAUUUUACUGCAGCGUAGGAGCUUGGCUGUACGCUAAAAAGGCAUAUGUAACGUGCUCAGAAGGGAUCCGACCAGCUGCUUGGCAGCAGAAGUAACUGAAAGGAACAACAGAAGCUUCACCCUAGUAGCACCAAAAACCGGAAGCAAGCCUGAAGUGUGAAAAAUAAGGAGAUGAGCAAUAGAAGAGCAACACAGAAGAGUAGUGUGUACCAAGAAGAGGACUGGAAACAAUAUUAUAGGUGGCUACAACGGCAUCGAACCUAUUUCCGCUAAUUAACUAUGACAGUGCAUUAAGCAAUAUGUUACCAGUCACCAAGGACCGUAUUUUUUUUUCCCCUCGAUGUACUAGUGACCUUUGUUUCUAUAUACUGGCACACAGCUAAACAGAGCUACACAUCUUACAGCUGAAAUUAUAACCCUUCCUUGCGAGCCACCAACUCCUUUCCAGUUACCCUCCAUUCUUACUGACCAGAUUCACAACAGGACUGUUGAGAAGGAAGCGCGCUUAAAAGUAAACACCAGCAUUCAAAGCUUUUACCUUUCAGCUACAGGGAACCCCUUUCACACAUGGGGAAAGCCAAGAUGCAGUUAAACUCCUGGGACAUUUCAGAGCCUCACGCUUGUCCUGACAAAGAGCACGGUUUUUCAGAAGACAAUAUGAUGCCACUGAAUGGAUUCCAGUUCAGAUUAGCAGGGUUUUCAUAUUAAGAAUGGGCUAAAGCCCACACAAGAGGUUAAUGAGGCUGACAAGUCAAGGCUUUACAUAAGCUGUUAAGACACCACAUUUAACUGUCAGACGCUUAUAAUCUAAAAUAAAUUUUCAUAGUCGCUCUCA
rnacentral:lncRNA from 1 species